UAAUAAGAAAAUAUAAAGGAUCCCAAUUGGUUACAAUAUUCUCCCUAACAAUGAAUUUAACUAUUCAUAAUGAAAGAAAAAAACAAUCAAUUGUCUUAGAAUACAUCACCGAAUUUGUAGUAAAGAUGUAUAUGAAAAAGUAGAAUUCUUGCAACCAAGAUCUUCUUCCUUUUCCAAUUAAUGCGUAAACUUUUAAUUGCUUGAUGUUUUCCUCCUAUGAAUACUUCUUUUGAUUUUUCAGUUGUAUUCUCUUGCCUCUCAAAGCGUGAAAAAAUUCCCCUCCAAAAUGUGAGAAUUUUGUAUUUAUAGGUGGCCCCUCGUUUGUGUAGAAAGUAGGGUUUUUAUGGACUUUAAGACGGUCCAAAAAUGUGCCCUAGACGACCCCGACAUUUAAGCAUUAGGGGUCAGCGCUUAAGCGCCGUGACAAAUCACACGUAGCUCCUGAGCGCUACUCAUUCUCUGCUCCAAUUCUUCGUUUUUUCACAUUUCGUAGCGCUUGACGCUACAAGCGUUGGGCGCUGCCUUUCUGCUCCAAUUUUUUUAUUUUUUUCUUCGUCCACUUUAAUACCUCUUUUUGCAUCACCUUUCCUAAUCUUCAAAACAACACUAACAAACCCAUCAAAAACGUUCUGCACUCAAAACGUUCAUGAGUGAAACAAACUCAUCAAGCACCAUCGAAAAUAUCUCCCAACAAUUAAACCAUAAUGACAAUUUUUCCUAUCAUUUUCUUAGAUAAGGUCAAAAUAAAAGUCCCAAUUAGCAAAUAGAAAUUACAUUGAUUAAAAAGGUAGAAAAAAAGGAUGAAAAAUCAAUUGAAGCAAGAAAUGACCUGAUUAUCCCACAAAGUUGCAACCAGCACAUUUACCUUGGGACCGAGACAAAGGAUUGACACUCAAACACUUGGAGGUUGCAUAGCCUUUUUUUCACACCCGCAAAAUCAAUCAAUUAUGAAGCCCACCAAAUGGAAUGAAAUCCCCAAAUAAAUUCAAUAUUUAAAUAGUCUAAAUUGGAUUCAAGAAGCCCAAUAAACAAAUUAAAUACAGUACAAUAUAAUUGAAAAUUACCUCAGUGGAACGAUUGGGAUUUGGAUUUUCCAUAGAAAUUAAAUAGAGUAUAAAAUAGCAGAUAUUAUGUGAGAGAGAUUAUUUGUCGUCAAAUGAAGUUGCCGUCGAGAUAUUCUAGUGGCUACUUUUACGGCGCAUCUUCUUCGGAUGAGCAGACUACUGACUACACGAAGGUGCUUUCACAACAUUUUAUUGUGUUUCUCUAAGGGUACCGCAAGGACGUUAACUUUGAGGCUUUGACACAUCUCCAAUCAAUGUUUAGAGGCGUUGCUGGAGCUUGAUGACUGGGAGUUCGCCGACGGUGCAAAAUGAUCUGAGGGUUAAGGUCCGAGGUGAGACGAUUUUAUUAGAAGCAUGAACAUAAUUGUAGAGUUUUUGUAAUUUAAUAUAUUUAAUGUUUUUUAAUUAAUAAGCAAGGCUUGUUGAAAUUAAAUUGGGGUUGAACCUUUU
rnacentral:lncRNA from 1 species